rnacentral:rRNA from 1 species
UACGUAGGGUGCAAGCGUUGUCCGGAAUUAUUGGGCGUAAAGAGCUCGUAGGCGGUCUGUCGCGUCUGCUGUGAAAACUCAGGGCUUAACCCUGAGCUUGCAGUGGGUACGGGCAGACUAGAGUGCGGUAGGGGAGACUGGAAUUCCUGGUGUAGCGGUGAAAUGCGCAGAUAUCGGGAGGAACACCCGUAGCGAAGGCGGCACUCUGGGCCGUGACUGACGCUGAGGAGCGAAAGCGUGGGGAGCAAACAGGG